rnacentral:rRNA from 1 species
CAGUAGCCGCGGUAAUACGGAGGGUGCAAGCGUUAAUCGGAAUUACUGGGCGUAAAGCGCACGCAGGCGGUUUGUUAAGUCAGAUGUGAAAUCCCCGAGCUUAACUUGGGAACUGCAUUUGAAACUGGCAAGCUAGAGUCUUGUAGAGGGGGGUGGAAUUCCAGGUGUAGCGGUGAAAUGCGUAGAGAUCUGGAGGAAUACCGGUGGCGAAGGCGGCCCCCUGGACAAAGACUGACGCUCAGGUGCGAAAGCGUGGGGAGCAAACAGGAUUAGAUACCCGCGUAGUCCCUGUCUCUUAUAC